rnacentral:rRNA from 1 species
AGGGUGUAAACGCUGCAGACUUGGUGUUGGAAGCCCUUUGGGGGCAUUCAGUGCCGGAGAGAAGUUGUUAAGUCUGCUACUUGGGGAGUACGUCCGCAAGGAUGAAACUUAGAGGAAUUGGCGGGGGAGCACCGCAACGGGAGGAGCGUGCGGUUUAAUUGGAUUCAACACCGUAAACUCACCAGGGAAGACUGUUACAUGAAGGCCGAGAUGAAGACUCUGCUAGAUUUUCAGAGAGGAGGUGCAUGGCGUCAGUGACU